AUACUUACCUAGUGGGGGAAAUACCAUGAUCAUGAAGGUGGCUUUCCCAGGGUGAGGCUCAUCCAUUGCACGCUGGAUGUGUUGACAUCUGCAGGAAACCUGACUGCAUAAUUUGUGGUAGUGGGUAUACUUCACUUUCAUUCCUU
rfam:Pan troglodytes isolate Yerkes chimp pedigree #C0471 (Clint) chromosome 10, whole genome shotgun sequence.